ACUGGAAAUGGAGAGAGAAAGAAAGAAAAACUCAGAUUUCAUAUUUUCUUGUGAUUACUUUCGUUUUUGGUGUUUUUUUUUUUU
rnacentral:ribozyme from 1 species